CAGAGUUGCAAAACUCCCCAAACCAUUGUGAACCUUACCUUCAACCGUUGCUUCGGCGGGCGGGCCACAGCGCCCCCCGGGCCCCCCCAGCGGGGCGCCCGCCGGAGGAUACCCAAACUCUUGAUACUUUAUGGCCUCUCUGAGUCUUAUUAUACCUAAGUA
rnacentral:misc_RNA from 1 species